CUUCUUUCGCCCGCUCGGUGAUCCGGGCUCGCUCCCUCACGAAGCCGCGGCGUCGCGCACAUCGGGUGCGGCAUAGACGAUCUUUGCGCGGCAGCGUCUUGACGUGUCGCCGGGGGGAGGAUGGGGGUGAGGGAAGUUUCGAUCUUGAACAGUCCGCGGUCUGAAGCGGGCUUCGUGCGCUCCACGUAGUUCUCUCUGACCCAGGAACCAUGUCCGCGCUGCGGCGCGGCGGCAGGUCAACAUGCAGUGGAGGAGACACGUCGCCGGCUUCGCUUUCUGCUUCGUCUUCGUUGUGUCUUGCUUCACGAAUAAGUUCGUCCUGUCCGUGUUAAAAUUCACCUUUCCAACCUUAUUCCAGGGAUGGCAGACGUCCGUCGGGGCCGUCCUGCUCCUGCUCUGCGGAAAGCUGGGGUGGGUGGAGCUGAGCCGCAUCAGCAGGUCCGCGGCGCUGCCCUGGAUCCCAGCCUCCCUCCUGUUUGUGGGGAACAUAUAUGCCGGUUCCAGGGCCUUGUCUCGCAUCGACAUCCCCUUUUUCUUCACGCUCCAGAACUGCUCUCACGUCGUCAGCCACGUGAUCCUGAGGGUCGCCCACGGACAGAAGACGCAGCGGCUGAAGUCGAUCAGCAUAUGUCUCCUGCUGCUUUCGGCCAUCAACCUCCCCCUCUGCGACCCGAAGUUCGAUUACGGCGGUUACCUGUGGGCCGUUGGUCACCUGCUCUGCGUCGGUGGAUACAGGGUGUUUCAGGUGCACUACAAGCCCAGUAACUUGAGUGACCUUGAACAGCAGUGCAUUAACUACUGGUUCAGUGUACUGCUGCUGGCCGCGGCUGCUCAUCCCACAGGGGACCUCGUGGGUGCCCUGGAGUUCCCCUCCCUUCAGUCUCACACGUUUCACUGCGGUUGCUGUGCCAGUGCACUGCUGGGCUUUUUGUUGCUGUUGGCCACAGUCAAACUAAAAAGUGGACUGUCCCAAGAGCACUUUGGGAUCUGGAAUUUUUUGUCCAAGGUCACUGCCAUGUCCCUCUCCCCGUUUAUUUUCUCCAUGGACAGCAAUGCUCCAUCUCUGAUGUGGUGAGUGGCUCGCCUGCCUGCCUGCCUGCCUGCCUGCCUGCCUGCCGCCUGCCUUCCCUGCUGCAUGAUGUAUUGAACACGUUUGAAACGUAACUUUCAGAUGCCUUGGAACUAGACGAUCAUGAUUAAGCCGCUGACGAUGUUUCCUGUUCUCAUCCGGUUGCAGUGUGGUCAUCAGUCAUGCCGGGGAGGCCCUGCUGGUGUAUUCUGACAGAGAACCUCAGCUGUGAUGAUCCCACAACUUGCCCUUCAUGAUGUUCUUCUCUCACAUUACUUUGUCUGUCAUCUCCCCCCGUGUGUACUGUGAUAACUCGCUGACCAAAUAAAAUGAUCUUGUCAAUGUG